UACGGAGGAUGCGAGCGUUAUCCGGAUUUAUUGGGUUUAAAGGGUGCGUAGGCGGAUAUGUAAGUCAGCGGUGAAAUCUCCAGGCUCAACCUGGAACCUGCCGUUGAAACUGCAUAUCUUGAGUAUGGAUGAAGUAGGCGGAAUUCGUUGUGUAGCGGUGAAAUGCAUAGAUAUAACGAGGAACUCCGAUUGCGUAGGCAGCUUACUAAGCCAUAACUGACGCUCAUGCACGAAAGCGUGGGGAUCAAACAGG
rnacentral:rRNA from 1 species